UACGUAGGGACCAAGCGUUGUCCGGAAUCAUUGGGCGUAAAGAGCGUGUAGGCGGCCACUUAAGUCCUGCGUGAAAUCUUGCGGCUCAACCGCAAGCGGUCGUGGGAAACUGGGUGGCUAGAGUGCGGGAGAGGAGAGUGGAAUUCCUGGUGUAGCGGUGGAAUGCGCAGAUAUCAGGAGGAACAUCCGUGGCGAAGGCGGCUCUCUGGGACGGUACUGACGCUGAGACGCGAAAGCGUGGGGAGCGAACAGG
rnacentral:rRNA from 1 species